CCUCUCGGGGGUAAGCGGGCAGAACUUGCAAGCAUUGGCGGGAGAUUCAGGCUUAGAAGCGGUGACUGGUUGGGUAAUUUUAUGUCGAGGUUCGCCCAGGCUGAGUUGCCCUUCCAGCCUCACUGUUGAUGCGCCGCAUUUCUCCUUGUCGACCGGGUUACGUGCAACUGAGACGGUAUUUUAGGUGCUGGGUGUCUGCGAAAGCACUUUGGUGUUUUUGAGCCCUGGUUUCCGACUACUGUCGCGGUUGUUGAAUAAUGGCGAGUAGGCGCUUGUCGCGGUCAAUCCUUUUGGCGAGUAGGGUGCGCAUGGCAUGUGGACGGGCAACCGUAGCUUGUCGUGUGCGCUGAUUGUCGGUCAGGAGAGUUUGGCCCUACUCAAGAAUCGNAAUCUAAAGCAUGCGUGGUCUGCCUGU
rnacentral:rRNA from 1 species